rnacentral:rRNA from 1 species
AGGAUGAACGCUGGCGGCGUGCCUAAUACAUGCAAGUCGAGCGGUAAAGCCUCUUCGGAGGUACACGAGCGGCGGACGGCUGAGUAACACGUAGGAACGUACCCCAAACUGAGGGAUAAGCACCAGAAAUGGUGUCUAAUACCGCAUGUGCUCUAAGGAGUAAAGCUUCGGCGGUUUGGGAACGGCCUGCGUCCGAUUAGCUAGUUGGUGAGGUAAUAGCUUACCAAGGCGACGAUCGGUAGCUGGUCUGAGAGGAUGAUCAGCCAGACUGGGACUGAGAACGGCCCAGACUCCUACGGGAGGCAGCAGUAGGGAAUUUUCCACAAUGGGCGAAAGCCUGAUGGAGCAACGCCGCGUGCAGGAUGAAUGCCUUCGGGUUGUAAACUGCUUUUAUCUGUGACGAAUAUGACGGUAGCAGAUGAAUAAGGAUCGGCUAACUCCGUGCCAGCAGCCGC